GAUGAAGAACGUAGCGAAAUGCGAUACGUAAUGUGAAUUGCAGAAUUCAGUGAAUCAUCGAAUCUUUGAACGCAUAUUGCGCUCUCUGGUAUUCCGGAGAGCAUGCUUGUUUGAGUAUCAGUAAACACCUCAACUUCCAUAUCUUUUUUGAAAUGGGAGUUGGACUUGAGUGAUCCCAACGCUUUUCCUCACCGAAAAGUGGCGGGUUACUUGAAAUGCAGGUGCAGCUGGACUUUUCUCUGAGCUAUAAGCAUAUCUAUUUAGUCUGCCUAAAAAACAGAUUAUUACCUUUGCUGCAGCUAACUUAAAGGAGAUUAGUUCUUGUGCUGACUGAUGCAGGAUUCACAAAGACAGGCUUCGGCCGACUUUGUAAACUCGAUCUCAAAUCAAGUAAGACUACCCGCUGAACUUAAGCAUAUCAAUAAGCGGAGGA
rnacentral:misc_RNA from 1 species